GCGAACGCUGGCGGCAGGCUUAACACAUGCAAGUCGAGCGGGCAUCCUUGUGGUGUCAGCGGCAGACGGGUGAGUAACGCGUGGGAACGUGCCCUUCGGUUCGGAAUAACUCAGGGAAACUUGAGCUAAUACCGGAUACGUGCGAGAGCAGAAAGGUUUAUCUGCCGAAGGAUCGGCCCGCGUCUGAUUAGCUAGUUGGUGAGGUUAUGGCUCACCAAGGCGACGAUCAGUAGCUGGUCUGAGAGGAUGAUCAGCCACACUGGGACUGAGACACGGCCCAGACUCCUACGGGAGGCAGCAGUGGGGAAUAUUGGACAAUGGGGGCAACCCUGAUCCAGCCAUGCCGCGUGAGUGAUGACGGCCUUAGGGUUGUAAAGCUCUUUUCUUCGGGACGAUAAUGACGGUACCGGAGGAAUAAGCCCCGGCUAACUUCGUG
rnacentral:rRNA from 1 species